AUUACUUCAGUUUGCUUUCUGAUUUAAUUGCAAAAUCACUCAGACUUUGUGUGUUUUCUCCGUGAGUAAUCCAAAUUUAGAUUUCACUGUUGGUGCUACCUGGCUUUUUUGUGUGUUUGUGUUUAAUGCAGCUGAAAGUUAUUAUGUAAAAUGGGUAAAUUGGAGCCUUUAAAGGAGCUGCCAACUUGCAUUUGCCUGAGUUACUUCAGCAGAAUUCCAGACACGUCAUCCUGAUUUCACAAGUCUGCAGAGAUCUCCAGAGUGGACUGACCCAUCUGUGUGAGCUGCCAAAAGCUGAAGACAACCACUUUAUCUGCAAGAGAAUAUUCAUUUAUGGAACUUCACUGGUGGCAUAGGUUUGGAAACAGGAAAAGAACCUUAAAGCCUUCCUCAGGAGAGAGAUUCACUCACAAUUUUCUCCAGUGUCAUUCAGGGGCCAAGUUUUCAAGUCUUCCAGAUUUGGACUUGUUUUGAUAUCACUGCAAAAUCCUGCAAGACUUCUGCCAACAGCAAGGCCAAUGGGUUUGAAGGCAGAUGGCAUUUCCAGUACCUAAAGCCUGGUCAGGUUGAUUGCUUUGAGUCUGUAAGGUCAUCAUGGUUGAAGGCAUGAAGAUGAGGACAUCAAAGCCUUUGCCCACUUCUGACAAUUACUCUGGAGACAAACACAGCUCAGAAGACAAAUGUUAUGAGCUACCUGUAAGUUCUGGUUCACAAAACAGAUGAGAAUCCAGAGAUACUCUUGAACUUAGAAAUGAAAAUUAUUCUCAAGGUAAUGGUUGAGCUCAUUAUCUGCUGCUCUUUCUAAAUGUAAAGUAAGGAGUGCAAGGCCCAUAUAUUCUCUCUAUACCAGCUGACAUGUUUUCUGCAUUCCUGUGUUUGCCUAAGAAGUCAUGGAUAAUCAAUUUGAUGUGCAAAAUACCCUGCAUGGGUGAGUUCUGAUACAUAUCACUUGCCAUGGCUGUGCUGUUCUGAGAGGCAAAAACUUUCAGGAAGGGAAGAGCAAGAAAAAUCUGCCUGAUAAUUUUCUCAUCAGUUUUUCUCCAAGGACAUAUCUGUAGGUGGAUUCUAUAGACAGUGUUUGGGUUUUUUCCCUCCCCCUUGACUGGCUGGUUCUGUGUGUGUCAGUUAUUUUCUCUUGCUGUAUUAGAAAUCAAAGCUACCUUAUCACUUCAGGAUAAAUAUAUCUAUAUUUAUAUCUCUGUAUCUAUCUCCUGUAAUCCUAA